AUUGAACGCUGGCGGCAUGCCUUACACAUGCAAGUCGAACGGUAACAGGUCUUCGGAUGCUGACGAGUGGCGAACGGGUGAGUAAUGCAUCGGAACGUGCCCAGUAGUGGGGGAUAGCCCGGCGAAAGCCGGAUUAAUACCGCAUACGACCUGAGGGUGAAAGGGGGGGAUCGCAAGACCUCUCGCUAUUGGAGCGGCCGAUGUCAGAUUAGCUAGUUGGUGGGGUAAAGGCCUACCAAGGCAACGAUCUGUAGUUGGUCUGAGAGGACGACCAGCCACACUGGGACUGAGACACGGCCCAGACUCCUACGGGAGGCAGCAGUGGGGAAUUUUGGACAAUGGGCGCAAGCCUGAUCCAGCAAUGCCGCGUGCAGGAAGAAGGCCUUCGGGUCGUAAACUGCUUUUGUCAGGGAAGAAAUCUUCUGGGUUAAUACCUCGGGAGGAUGACGGUACCUGAAGAAUAAGCACCGGCUAACUACGUGCCAGCCGCCGCAGUAAUAC
rnacentral:rRNA from 1 species